AAGACGGUGGCAGAGUGGUUAUGCGAUUGGCUUGAAACCAGUAUAUGGGGGUUCAAUUCCUCCCCUUCUCG
rnacentral:tRNA from 1 species